rnacentral:rRNA from 1 species
CACGCCGGAAGAUCAAGGGUUCCAGUCCAACGUUAAUCGGGGCUGGGUGAGUCGACCCCUAAGGCGAGGCCGAAAGGCGUAGUCGAUGGGAAAUCGGUUAAUAUUCCGAUACUUGUUUAUGAUGUGAUGGAGGGACGGAGAAGGUUAUGCCAGCCUGGCGAUGGUUGUCCAGGUGGAAGGAUGUAGGUAGACGGCUUAGG